rnacentral:lncRNA from 1 species
GGGUGUGGUGGUGAGUGAUGACCACCCCCACUAAAAAUGGUUGUGAGUGAUGGAAAAAUGGUCAAUGACAUGGCGAAACUUGAUUGGUGCUUGUGAGUGAUAAAUUCUAUCACUAGUGAACCACCCCUAGUCCCCUUGUAAUAAUAAUCUAAACACGAAAUAACCUUUCGAUAAGUUCAAUGUUCACAUCUACAUCUACAUAAAGCAAUGAAGAGACGAUGUGUAUCAGGAUGCUUUUCCGGUGACCGUACAAAUGUAGCAUACAGCAAGGUUUUCAUUUCAGUUUUCUACAACUCAGUUUAUAAUACACACACAAAAAUAUAUAUCAUCUAGAGGAUUAACAGAAACUAACCUGUUCGACGAUUUGACGACGUGUGAGAUUAUCAAAACCAGACACGAGCGCAUACGCACCGGAAACAACGAGGAGACUUGCUCCGGCAUCCUGAAUCAGAUCGACGGUGAAAGCACGUGGUGGAAGAAGAAGAAGAUGUGGUUUAACGUGAACAUCAUCAACACAAACAUUAUGAGUAAGAUGAUGAUGACGAAAAUGUGUAAUUGGAUUAGAAGUAGCGUAUCUCGGAGUGCGUAAGUGUGGCCGGAGGAUUGAGAGUUUGCGGUUAGCAGCGGUGGCGAUGGUGGUUGCAACGGCCAUGUGGAUGAGACGAGUCUCUUGUGAGUUGUGACUAGUGACUUGCUGGACCAACUCCAUGCGCUAUUUGUCUGUGCGUUGCCGCUGGUAUUGGAUCAGUAUCGGUUUAUUACACUAUCGGUAUGCUACAUACACUUGA